rnacentral:rRNA from 1 species
AGGGCGUAUGAAGUUGCAGGUAUUAGACCCGAAACCGGGUGACCUAUCCAUGAGCAGGCUGAAGCGGUGGUAAGACACCGUGGAGGGCCGCACCCACGUCUGUUGAAAAAGCCGGGGAUGACUUGUGGAUAGCGGAGAAAUUCCAAUCGAACUCGGAGAUAGCUGGUUCUCCCCGAAAUAGCUUUAGGGCUAGCGUUAUUUUAGAUUACCGGAGGUAAAGCACUGAAUGGUCUAGGGGCCGCGAGGUUACCAAAGCCUAUCAAACUCUGAAUGCCGGAUAAUUGAUGAAUAGCAGUCAGACUGUGUGAGAUAAGUCUCAUAGUCAAAAGGGAAACAGCCCAGAUCUACAGCUAAGGUCCCAAAUGAACACUAAGUGGAAAAUGAUGUGAAACUGCGAAGACAACCAGGAUGUUGGCUUAGAAGCAGCCACUCAUUCAAAGAGUGCGUAAUAGCUCACUGGUCGAGUGGUUUUGCGCAGAAAAUGUAACGGGGCUAAGUGUUCAACCGAAGCUUAGGCAUUGCAGUAAUGCAUUGGGUAGGGGAGCGUCGUAUGCGGGGCGAAGUCAGAGCGGAAGCACUGGUGGACUGCAUACGAGUGAGAAUGCCGGAAUAAGUAGCGAGAAUUAUGUGAGAAUCAUAAUGGCCGAAAAUCUAAGGUUUCUUGGGGAAGGUUCGUCCGCCCAAGGUUAGUCGGGAGCUAAGCUCAGGCCGAAAGGCGUAGGCGAUGCACAUACGGUAGAAAUUCCGUAACCACCGAACAUUUAAGCUAGAGGGACGCUUUCUUUAAGGUUAUCCCGGGCGAUGGUUGCCCCGGGCGUAAGGGACCGAAAUAUAGUAGGGAAGUAACUGGCGAGAGAGACGAGAAAAGCUCUAGUGUAUACUAAGGUGCCCGUACCGCAAACCGACACAGGUAGAUGGGAUGAGUAUUCUAAGGCCAACGGGAGAAGGGUUGUUAAGGAACUCGGCAAAUUGGCCCCGUAACUUCGGGAUAAGGGGCGCCUGCGAGAGCAGGCCGCAGUGAAAAGGCCCAAGCGACUGUUUAGCAAAAACACAGCUCUCUGCUAAAUCGAAAGAUGACGUAUAGGGGGUGACGCCUGCCCGGUGCUGGAAGGUUAAGGGGAGUGCUUAGCGCAAGCGAAGGUGCGAACUUAAGCCCCAGUAAACGGCGGCCGUAACUAUAACGGUCCUAAGGUAGCGAAAUUCCUUGUCAGGUAAGUUCUGACCCGCACGAAUGGCGUAACGA